UACGGAGGGUGCAAACGUUGCUCGGAAUCAUUGGGCGUAAAGCGCACGUAGGCGGUUCGUUAUGUCGGAUGUGAAAUCCCUCGGCUCAACCGAGGAAGGGCAUCCGAAACUGGCGUGCUUGAGUAUGGAAGAGGGUCUCGGAAUUCCCGGUGUAGAGGUGAAAUUCGUAGAUAUCGGGAGGAACACCAGUGGCGAAGGCGGAGACCUGGGCCAAUACUGACGCUGAGGUGCGAAAGCGUGGGGAGCAAACAGG
rnacentral:rRNA from 1 species